CCUUCCGUAGGGGGGACCUGCGGAGGGAUCAUUACUGAGUUUACGCUCUACAACCCUUUGUGAACAUACCUAUAACUGUUGCUUCGGCGGGUAGGGUCUCCGUGACCCUCCCGGCCUCCCGCCCCCGGGCGGGUCGGCGCCCGCCGGAGGAUAACCAAACUCUGAUUUAACGACGUUUCUUCUGAGUGGUACAAGCAAAUAAUCAAAACUUUUAACAACGGAUCUCUUGGUUCUGGCAUCGAUGAAGAACGCAGCGAAAUGCGAUAAGUAAUGUGAAUUGCAGAAUUCAGUGAAUCAUCGAAUCUUUGAACGCACAUUGCGCCCGCCAGCAUUCUGGCGGGCAUGCCUGUUCGAGCGUCAUUUCAACCCUCAAGCUCUGCUUGGUGUUGGGGCCCUACAGCUGAUGUAGGCCCUCAAAGGUAGUGGCGGACCCUCCCGGAGCCUCCUUUGCGUAGUAACUUUACGUCUCGCACUGGGAUCCGGAGGGACUCUUGCCGUAAAACCCCCCAAUUUUCCAAAGGUUGACCUCGGAUCAGGUAGGAAUACCCGCUGAACUUAAGCAUAUCAAAGUCCGGAGGAA
rnacentral:rRNA from 1 species